UUUGUCCUACGGGGGGCAGCAGCCGCGGUAAUACGUAGGGAGCAAGCGUUAUCCGGAUUUACUGGGUGUAAAGGGCGCGUAGGCGGGAUGGCAAGUCAGAUGUGAAAUCCAGGGGCUCAACCCCUGAACUGCAUUUGAAACUGUCGUUCUUGAGUACUGGAGAGGUUGACGGAAUUCCUAGUGUAGCGGUGAAAUGCGUAGAUAUUAGGAGGAACACCAGUGGCGAAGGAGGUCAACUGGACAGCAACUGACGCUGAGGCGCGAAAGCGUGG
rnacentral:rRNA from 1 species